CUUGAGUUCAUGUUAAGGUUUUCACAAGGUUUGCAACUGAAACAACUAACCAUGAUCUCAGAGGGAAUAGCAGCAAGUUCCAAGACACUCACAAGAAUGACUACAAUUCUAAGAAAGGUGUGCAUGGCUGCUGUUGUGCGCCUGAGGAAGAGAGGAAUGAAAAUUGGUGGUCGUCAUCGCUUCGUUAUUAUUGAUGAGAGCAAAUUUGCUCACAAACAAAAGUACCAUCAUGGCAGAUGUGGCAAAACAUGGCAUCGCAAACGCCAGUGGGUCUUCGGGAUGCUGGAGGUUGAUGAAAAUUCUAGAAAACCCAUUCUGAAACUGGUCAAGCACCGCUCAAGGCAAACCCUUACACGCCAAAUACGACGACAUAUCAGACCUAGGACAUCUAUCCUCACAGAUGUAUGGCGGGCCUACAGGGGGCAGCUUUCCCAGUAUGGAUAUCACCAGUACUCUGUCUGCCAUAAAAAAAACUUUGUUGACCCAGUCACUGGUGCUCAUACUCAACACAUUGAGCGUGCACAGCAGAAUUACAAGUUGGAAAUAUGGCGUCAUAGAGGCAAUCGAACUCCUGAGACACUACAGAGUCACCUCAAAAUGAUAGAGUGGCACCACUGGUUAGGUGUCUGUCAUUAUAAUGGUGUCUUGGGCAGAAUUUUCCAUGAUGUUAACCAAUAUCUCAAGUAAAUAUAGACUAUGACUUUUGAAACAACUUUGUUAAAGAAGUAAUUGUUUUUUCAGUUGUUUUAAUUAGUAUUUCAGAAAUAAAGUUUACUGAACAAGAAGUUGAACUUUUUCUUUUUUGUACUGAAGUUUGUGCUGAAACAUUGCUAGAAAUUGAACUCUCUGUUGGAGGAAGAACAAAUAAUAGUAUUGUUCAAAUCAAAUAAAAGAAAGUGUUUGUGUUUACUUGUGGAUUGGUUUUAUUACAGUAUUUAAAAGCAUUUAUCAGUGUAAUAAAUAGUUUUAAAGGUCUAGGAAGAUAUUGCACCAUGUUAUUAAAGCUUUUGACAGCAUAAUAAUGCUUAAUGACAUCUUUAUAACUAGUCCUAUAUGUUUCACUUUACUUGUGGUAAGGAGACAUUUUCAUGACAAUGUUAUUAAGGCA